AGGAUCCUGCUCGUCGCUGGUUCGCCUCGCAGGAGGCGAAGCAAGAGGGAACCCGGUGCGAUUCCGGGGCUGCCCCGCAGCGGUGAGCGGGAACGACCGCCGUCACACGCACUGGAGAGAUCCGGGAAGCGACGGCCAGUAGGUGCCAUCGAGCGUGCCCGCGAGCCCGAAGACCUGCCAGCGGCAUGCCGGGGUG
rnacentral:ncRNA from 2 species